rnacentral:rRNA from 1 species
ACUCCUACGGGAGGCAGCAGUGGGGGAAUAUUGCACAAUGGGCGCAAGCCUGAUGCAGCCAUGCCGCGUGUAUGAAGAAGGCCUUCGGGUUGUAAAGUACUUUCAGCAGUGAGGAAGGUGGGUAUGUUAAUAGCAUAUUCAUUUGACGUUAGCUGCAGAAGAAGCACCGGCUAACUCCGUGCCAGCAGCCGCGGUAAUACGGAGGGUGCGAGCGUUAAUCGGAAUUACUGGGCGUAAAGCGCAUGCAGGUGGUUUGUUAAGUCAGAUGUGAAAGCCCGGGGCUCAACCUCGGAAUUGCAUUUGAAACUGGCAAACUAGAGUACUGUAGAGGGGGGUAGAAUUUCAGGUGUAGCGGUGAAAUGCGUAGAGAUCUGAAGGAAUACCGGUGGCGAAGGCGGCCCCCCUGGACAGAUACUGACACUCAGAUGCGAAAGCGUGGGGGAGCAAACAGGAUUAGAUACCCUGGUAGGCUCU